rnacentral:rRNA from 1 species
GCGAUUCGGUAUGACUUGAUUAUAAAUAAAUUUAUAUUUUUUAUGUUGUUAAGAUUAUUUAUUUAAAAAGUAUUUAUUGGUUAUUGUAUUUAUUUAAGAUAUAAUUUAUUUUAUUAUAGUUUAUUAGUACUGUGAUGGUUUAUUGAAAUAUAAGUUUAUAUAUAAAUAAGUUGAUUUUAUUUAUUGUACCUUGUGUAUCAGGGUUUAUUAAUAAUACUAUAUGUAUAUUAUUUUUCUCGAUUUAAGGAGAGUUACUUAUUUAUAUUAGUUAUUGUUAUAUAAUUAUUCAUAAUAAAUAGGUGGUGAUGAAAUGUUAAUCGUUCCUUACUAUAUCUGGUUUUCUGAGAAAUGAAUUUAAUUCAUGUAUUAAAUAUUUGAUAAAAUAAUUUUAAUAAUUUUUUUAUUAUUUAAUACUAAUAUUUAGGGGGAUAAGCUUUUAAAUAAAUUUUUAUAAAUUGUUUAAUUUAUUUAAGUUUAAUGAAUUUAAGAAUGAUUAUUAUUUUGUGUAUGUUAAAAUUUUACUUAUUCAUAUUUUUAUUUUUGUUAUUUUAAAUUUAUUAUUGGAAUAUUUUAAUUAAUUAAUAGUUAAUAGUUAUUAUGGUGAAAUUAGUAUAUUAAAAUAAUAUAAUAUUUUUGAUAUGGAUGAAUUGAUUAUAAGGAAUUAGGCAAAAUAGUAUGUUCGCCUGUUUAACAAAAACAUCUUUUCUUGUAUAUAUAUUAUGAAAUAUAACCUGCCCACUGAUAUAAAUUGAAGGGCCGCGGUAUUUUGACCGUGCAAAGGUAGCAUAAUCAUUAGUCUUUUAAUUAAAGGCUGGAAUGAAUGGUUGGACGAGAUAUAAACUGUCUUUUAAUUAAAUUUGGAAUUUAAUUAUUAAGUAAGAAAGCUUAAAUUUUUUUAUGGGACGAGAAGACCCUAUAGAGUUUUAUAAUUUUUAAUAAUUAAUUGGUUUGAUAAAAUAAUUUUAUUAAAAAUUAUUUUGUUGGGGUGAUGAAAAGAUAAAAUUAACUCUUUUUAUUGUAAAAUAUUUAUUUAUAGAUAUUGGAUCCAUAAAUAUUGAUUAUAAGACUAAAUUACCUUAGGGAUAACAGCGUAAUCUUUUUUAAGAGUUCAUAUCGACAAAAAGGGUUGCGACCUCGAUGUUGGAUUAAGAUUAAUAUUAGGUGUAGAAGUUUAAUGUAUUAGGUCUGUUCGACCUUAAAAAUCUUACAUGAUCUGAGUUCAAACCGGCGUGAGCCAGGUUGGUUUCUAUCUAUAAUAAUUUAUAAUAUCUUAGUACGAAAGGACCAGUUAUUAGAAAUAAUUUUAUUUAUAAGAAUAUUAUUAAUUGUUUGACUAUUUUGGCAGAAAAGUGCGGUGGAUUUAGAAUCUAUAAAUA